rnacentral:rRNA from 1 species
AUUGAACGCUAGCGGGAUGCCUUACACAUGCAAGUCGAACGGAGUGGCGAACGGGUGAGUAAUGUAUCGGAACGUGCCCAGUACCGGGGGAUAACUACGCGAAAGCGUAGCUAAUACCGCAUACUAUUGGAGCGGCCGAUAUCGGAUUAGGUAGUUGGUGGGGUAACGGCCCACCAAGGCGACGAUCCGGAGCUUGUUUGAGAGGACGACCAGCCACACUGGGACUGAGACACGACCCCGACCCCUACGGGAGGCAGCAGUGGUGAAUUUUGGACAAUGGGGGAAACCCUGAUCGAGCCAUCCCGCGUGUGCGAUGAAGGCCGUCGGGUUGUAAAGAUCUGUUGAGCGGGACGCGGUACCGUAAUAGAAAGCCACGGCUAACUACGUGCCAGCAGCCGCGGUAAUAC